GACGAACGCUGGCGGCGUGCUUAACACAUGCAAAUCGAACGGAAAGGCCCUGCUUGCAGGGUGCUCGAGUGGCGAACGGGUGAGUAACACGUGGGUGAUCUGCCCCUUACUUUGGGAUAAGCCUGGGAAACUGGGUCUAAUACUGGAUAGGACCAUGCUGUAGGUGGUGUGGUGGAAAGAUUAGUUUCGGUAAGGGAUGAGCUCGCGGCCUAUCAGCUUGUUGGUGGGGUAAUGGCCUACCAAGGCGUCGACGGGUAGCCGGCCUGAGAGGGUGGACGGCCACAUUGGGACUGAGAUACGGCCCAGACUCCUACGGGAGGCAGCAGUGGGGAAUAUUGCACAAUGGGCGCAAGCCUGAUGCAGCGACGCCGCGUGGGGGAUGACGGCCUUCGGGUUGUAAACUCCUUUCAGCCAUGACGAAGCCCUUGUGGUGACGGUAGUGGUAGAAGAAGCACCGGCUAACUACGUG
rnacentral:rRNA from 1 species